UAUAUAAAUGAUUUAAAUAUAUUUUAAAGUGAAUAUUUGUUUAAUGUCUCGUGGAUGAUCUCUAGGUGGUUUUGAGAAUCAGGAUUUCGAUGAAGGCUUGGAACAGAUCCUUGAAGAGUUAUUUGAUGAGGGCGUGUUGUUUGCCUGUGAUGAACCCGGAGCUGUUAAUAACGGUUGAACUUCCGGUAACCUUGUGAUGGAUGGGCUGAACUUUCCGAAGUUAACCUAGUCAUGGGUUAACCUAUGACCC